rnacentral:piRNA from 1 species
UGCAGAGGUACUGCUUCCUAAACUGGAGGU